CUUCCCGCCUGCGCGCUCGGCCAAGUGCGGCCGGGUCCUGCGGGACCGGCCCGAGUCCGCCGUAGACAACUUGAUCCGCUAAGACUCCUGGGCCGGCCGCCUGCGUGCAGGGCAGCCCCUCGCCGGUGUUGGCCUCCGGGAUCAGGGGACGGGGCUCGCUCUCCUCCCGGGCCCGGGCCCCCGACGCAAGAUGGCUGUGUCGCGUCGGCCUCUAAACAAUGUGUGGAGCGCGCAGCUCCUGCACCAGGGCCUGGUGGCUUGUCCUGCCCGCCCGUGGGGGCCGUGUGAUCUGUUUUCGGUAGGAUUGCUUUGGAAAGGAAUUGCCGAAUAUAGAUAGUCAAAUGUCCGCAGCUUCUGCAUAGUUUAGAAGAGGCUGAAAACGGCAGAAAGAAGGCAAACGUGGUUUGGGAAUUAGUACAUAUACCUGUUUUCCAAUUCUCAGUAGCAUAGGAAACGGACUUUUCAUGGCCCAAGUUAUCCUCACGACUUGUCAGUUGAUUGGCUUUGGAACCUCUGAACCGUCCCUAGAUGGUAUUGACGCUUCACAACUGUGUGUAAAGGUUUUCAAUGGAAGGGUCAUGCAAAUAUCCCGUAGGGUAGUGAAGGAGGAAAAUUUCAUAAAUGAAGGGCAGUAAUUAUUUGUAAUCUGAAGAUCUCACAAAGCGGCUUAGUGAUAAACAUUAUCCCGAAACAGAUACAUGGAAAUCAGAUACGAGGGAAGAAAUGGAUUUGUCCAAGGUCACUUAAGUGAGGAAGAGACCUAGGAGAAACAAACAGACAAAAAUCCAGGCCUCCCGUUUCAUUAUUAUUUCAUGAAUGUUAAGUGUCCAUGGUUGCUGUGCAGAACACAUGCAAUCUCUAAUCCUAUCCUAAAAGCACAUAUGCAAUCAGCUUGGACCGAGCUGCCAGCAAAGAAUUUCCUAUAAUUCAAGCCAAGAUGAGUUAUUUUGCUUGUUUUUUGUUUUGUUUUCAGGAAACCGAAAUAUUUAUUGUUGGAUUUAUCCAGGAAGGCUGUUCUGCAUUAGUUAAAUGCAUCAUAUCUUCAAGAAAUGUUAAAUGACAUGGAUGCUUCCAGCCCUGAAGCAUCAGACUCCAGGUUCUUUGGCUUUUGGACUCUUGGAGUUACACCAGUGGUUUCCCAGGAACUCUCCAGCCUUGGGCCACAGACUGAAG
rnacentral:lncRNA from 10 species